rnacentral:rRNA from 1 species
UAGUCAUAUGCUUGUCUCAAAGAUUAAGCCAUGCAUGUCUAAGUAUAAACUGCUUUAUACUGUGAAACUGCGAAUGGCUCAUUAAAUCAGUUAUAGUUUAUUUGAUGGUACUUACUUACUCGGAUACCCGUAGUAAUUCUAGAGCUAAUACGUGCGUACAUCCCGACUUCUGGAAGGGACGUAUUUAUUAGAUAAAAGGCCGACCGGGCUUGCCCGACUCGCGGUGACUCAUGAUAACUUCACGAAUCGCAUGGCCUUGCGCCGGCGAUGUUUCAUUCAAAUUUCUGCCCUAUCAACUUUUGAUGGUAGGAUAGAGGCCUACCAUGGUGGUAACGGGUGACGGAGAAUUAGGGUUCGAUUCCGGAGAGGGAGCCUGAGAAACGGCUACCACAUCCAAGGAAGGCAGCAGGCGCGCAAAUUACCCAAUCCUGAUACAGGGAGGUAGUGACAAUAAAUAACAAUACCGGGCCUUUGGUCUGGUAAUUGGAAUGAGUACAACCUAAACACCUUAACGAGGAUCAAUU